CUCUAGCUACAACAUUCAUCCAUUUUCCAACAAAUUCCCACCAAAUCCCUUUUUUCUUUGCUUCCUAAACCUUUCCCUCUUCUCUCUCACUCUCUCAGUUGAUGAUUAUUCAGAUUAAUUCAGACACAAUUUCAAGAAAUUGGAUUACAGCUUCAUUUCCUGUUGGAUAGAUCCAUGGUGGGUGUUAUAUUUCUCUGUAUUCUAUUAAUCUGUUUUUUCUUUGAAGAUCGAUCCUUAGGUGUACAAAUCUUCUGAUUUUAUCUGGGGUGUAGAGAGGGAAAUUAAAUAAAAUGAU